rnacentral:rRNA from 1 species
AACGAACGCUGGCGGCAUGCCUAACACAUGCAAGUCGAACGAGACCUUCGGGUCGGGUGGCGACGGGUUGCGUAACGGGGGGUAACCUGCCCUUACGUUCGGAAUAACUGCCGGAAAGGGGUCGUAAGACGGGCUAAUGUCGUCUGACCAAAGAUGUGUAGAGCUUGGAGGGGCCCGGAUUGGUUUAGCUGGUUGGUAGUGUAAAAGCCUACCAAGGCGUCGAUCCAUAGCUGGUGUGAGAGGAUCAUCAGCCACACUGGGUGUGAGACACGGUCGGGACUCCUGCGGGAGGCAGGAGUGGGGAAUAUUGGACUAUGGGCGAAGGGCUGAUGCAGUAAGGCUGCGUGAGUGAUGAGGGCAUUAGGGUUGUAAAGCUCUUUUAUCCGGGAUGAUAAUGACGGUACCGGGAGAAUAAGCACCGGCUAACUCCGUG